AUGGCGACGCCCCUAGCCGCCUCCAUUUCCAGCCACCUCCGAGCUCCGCCGCCAUGGCCGCCUCCCAAGAGCACCAGCCAGAGAGCGAGGGUUCGGUGUGGCGUCCUCGCACCGUCCGGCCAAGCCUCGGAGGCUGCCGCUCCUCCGAGGGACGCCGAGAAAUCGCCAAACUGGCCCCCGAGUUCCGACGUGAACCUGCGGAUUCAGAGGCUGUGUCGGUCGGGUGACUUGGCGGAGGCUUUGCGGUUGCUCGGCUCGGAUGGGGUCGAUGACCGCAGCUACGGCGCCGUCCUCCAGCUCUGCUCGGAGAUGAGGUCGUUGGAGGGUGGGAAGAGAGCCCAUUUCCUGGUUCGGGCAUCCGGCCUUGGAAUAGAUGGAAUGGACAGUGUUCUCGGGCAGAAAUUGGUGCUGAUGUACUUGAAGUGUGGGGACUUGGGGAGUGCAAGAAGGGUGUUUGACGAAAUGCCUCAGGUAGGCGAUGUGCGUGUUUGGACUGCUCUGAUGAGCGGUUAUGCCAAGGCCGGCGAUUUACGAGAAGGUGUGUUGCUGUUUAGGAAGAUGCACUGCUGUGGGGUUCGACCGGACGCGUACACCAUUUCCUGCGUCUUGAAGUGCAUUGCUGGUUUGGGCAGUAUCGCGGAUGGCGAGGUAGUUCAUGGGUACCUUGAGAAGUUGGGUUUUGGCUCGCAUUGUGCAGUUGGAAAUGCGUUGAUGGCUCUGUACUCAAGGUGUGGCUGUAACGAGGAUGCUUUGCGGGUCUUUGAAGGAAUGCCUCAGCGGGAUGCUAUUUCUUGGAAUUCUGUGAUCAGUGGAUGCUUUUCAAAUGGAUGGCAUGGCAGGGCUGUUGAGCAUUUAAGCGAAAUGUGGUUUGAAGGCCUGGAGAUCGAUUCUGUGACGAUGCUCAGUGUUCUGCCUGCCUGUGCUGAAUUAGGUUACGAGCUUGUUGGAAGAGUGAUUCAUGGGUACUCUGUGAAAACUGGAUUACUGUGGGAGCUUGAGUCUUUGGAGAGAGGAGUAGAUGAAAAUCUGGGAUCCAAAUUGGUAUUCAUGUAUGUGAAAUGUGGUGAAUUGGGCUAUGCACGAAAGGUAUUUGAUGCAAUGUCAUCGAAAAGCAGCAUACACGUGUGGAAUCUACUGAUGGGUGGGUAUGCAAAGGUUGGUGAAUUUCAAGAAAGCCUAUUUCUUUUUGAGAAAAUGCAUGACAGUGGAAUUGCUCCGGAUGAGCACACCGUUUCAUGCCUUGUGAAGUGCGUCACUAGUUUGUAUAGUGCUAGGGAUGGCCUAGUGGUUCAUGGGUAUCUUUUGAAGUUGGGUUUUGGUGCACAGUGUGCAGUUUGCAAUGCAAUGAUAUCAUUCUAUGCGAAAUCCAAUAUGACUGAAGAAGCACUCUUGGUAUUUGAUGGAAUGCCUCAUCGAGAUGUCAUUUCUUGGAAUUCUAUCAUCAGUGGCUGCACUUUCAAUGGAUUACACAGCAGAGCUAUUGAGCUAUUUGUAAGAAUGUGGUUACAAGGACAGGAGUUGGAUUCAGCCACAUUGUUAAGUGUUUUGCCUGCUUGUGCACAGUUGCGCCAUUGGUUUCUAGGGAGAGUAGUUCAUGGGUAUUCUGUGAAAACUGGAUUGAUCGGCGAAACAUCUCUCGCUAAUGUUCUUCUUGAUAUGUACUCAAAUUGCUCAGAUUGGCGUAGCACCAAUAAGAUAUUCAGAAAUAUGGAUCAGAAAAAUGUUGUCUCAUGGACAGCAAUAAUUACGAGUUAUACCAGGGCUGGUCUUUUUGACAAAGUGGCUGGGUUACUCCAAGAAAUGGCAUUAGAAGGUAUCAGACCAGAUACCUUUGCAAUUACCGGUGCUCUUCAUGCUUUUGCUGGUAAUGAAUCGCAGAAACAUGGCAAAUCUGUACAUGCAUAUGCCAUCAGAAAUGGAAUGGAGAAGGUUCUUCCUGUUACCAAUGCGCUAAUGGAAAUGUAUGCCAAAUGUGGAAAGAUGGAGGAAGCAAGGUUGAUUUUUUAUGGUGCAGCGAGUAAGGAUAUGAUAUCAUGGAAUACACUGAUAGGAGGUUACUCCAGGAAUAAUCUUGCCAAUGAAGCGUUCAGUUUGUUCACUGAAAUGCUGCUCCAAUUCAGACCUAAUGCCGUGACCAUGACCUGCAUCCUUCCUGCUGCGGCAAGCCUUUCAUCCCUGGAGCGAGGCAGAGAGAUGCACACCUAUGCCCUACGAAGAGGGUACUUGGAAGACGAUUUUGUAGCCAACGCCCUCAUGGACAUGUAUGUUAAGUGUGGUGCAUUGCUGCUAUCUCGACGGCUGUUUGACAGGUUGAGCAGCAAGAACCUCAUCUCAUGGACCAUCAUGGUAGCGGGAUAUGGCAUGCAUGGCCGUGGCAGGGAUGCCAUUGCUCUCUUUGAGCAGAUGAGGACCAGUGGCAUUAUGCCAGAUGCAGCCUCGUUCAGUGCCAUACUGUAUGCUUGCAGCCAUUCAGGUCUGAGAGACGAGGGAUGGAGAUUCUUCGAUGCGAUGCGUCGUGAACACAGAAUAGAGCCCAGGCUGAAGCACUACACCUGCAUGGUUGACCUACUAACCAACACCGGCAAUUUGAGGGAAGCUUACGAGUUCAUCGAGUCGAUGCCAAUCGAGCCAGAUUCAAGCAUAUGGGUCUCAUUGCUGAAUGGAUGCAGAAUUCACAGGGAUAUCAAGCUUGCAGAGGAGGUAGCAGAGAGGGUCUUUGAACUGGAACCUGAAAACACCGGGUACUACGUUCUUCUUGCCAACAUAUAUGCUGAAGCUGAGAGAUGGGAGGCUGUAAGGAAGCUCAGGAACAAGAUCGGCGGCCGAGGACUCCGGGAGAAAACUGGCUGCAGCUGGAUUGAGGCCAGGGGCAAAGUUCAGGUCUUCAUCGCGGGCAACCGGAAUCAUCCGCAGGGGGAGAGGAUCGCAGAGUUCCUGGAUGAAGUUGCCAGAAGAAUGCAGGAAGAAGGCCAUGACCCGAAGAAGAGAUAUGCUCUGAUGGGCGCUGACGACGCGGUGAACGGCGAAUCACUCUGCGGUCACAGCUCGAAGCUCGCCGUCGCGUUUGGGGUGCUGAAUCUGUCGGAAGGGCGCCCGAUCCGCGUGACGAAGAACUCGAGGGUUUGCACCCACUGCCACGAGGCCGCCAAGUUCAUAUCCAAGAUGUGCAGCAGGGAGAUCAUACUGAGGGAUUCCAACAGGUUCCAUCAUUUUGAACAAGGCAGGUGCUCUUGCAGAGGUUACUGG
rnacentral:rRNA from 1 species